GGUUAAGCGACUAAGCGUACACGGUGGAUGCCCUGGCAGUCAGAGGCGAUGAAGGACGUGCUAAUCUGCGAUAAGCGUCGGUAAGGUGAUAUGAACCGUUAUAACCGGCGAUUUCCGAAUGGGGAAACCCAGUGUGAUUCGUCACACUAUCAUUAACUGAAUCCAUAGGUUAAUGAGGCGAACCGGGGGAACUGAAACAUCUAAGUACCCCGAGGAAAAGAAAUCAACCGAGAUUCCCCCAGUAGCGGCGAGCGAACGGGGAGCAGCCCAGAGCCUGAAUCAGUGUGUGUGUUAGUGGAAGCGUCUGGAAAGGCGCGCGAUACAGGGUGACAGCCCCGUACACAAAAAUGCACAUGCUGUGAGCUCGAUGAGUAGGGCGGGACACGUGGUAUCCUGUCUGAAUAUGGGGGGACCAUCCUCCAAGGCUAAAUACUCCUGACUGACCGAUAGUGAACCAGUACCGUGAGGGAAAGGCGAAAAGAACCCCGGCGAGGGGAGUGAAAAAGAACCUGAAACCGUGUACGUACAAGCAGUGGGAGCCUCUUUAUGGGGUGACUGCGUACCUUUUGUAUAAUGGGUCAGCGACUUAUAUUCUGUAGCAAGGUUAACCGAAUAGGGGAGCCGAAGGGAAACCGAGUCUUAACUGGGCGUUAAGUUGCAGGGUAUAGACCCGAAACCCGGUGAUCUAGCCAUGGGCAGGUUGAAGGUUGGGUAACACUAACUGGAGGACCGAACCGACUAAUGUUGAAAAAUUAGCGGAUGACUUGUGGCUGGGGGUGAAAGGCCAAUCAAACCGGGAGAUAGCUGGUUCUCCCCGAAAGCUAUUUAGGUAGCGCCUCGUGAAUUCAUCUCCGGGGGUAGAGCACUGUUUCGGCAAGGGGGUCAUCCCGACUUACCAACCCGAUGCAAACUGCGAAUACCGGAGAAUGUUAUCACGGGAGACACACGGCGGGUGCUAACGUCCGUCGUGAAGAGGGAAACAACCCAGACCGCCAGCUAAGGUCCCAAAGUCAUGGUUAAGUGGGAAACGAUGUGGGAAGGCCCAGACAGCCAGGAUGUUGGCUUAGAAGCAGCCAUCAUUUAAAGAAAGCGUAAUAGCUCACUGGUCGAGUCGGCCUGCGCGGAAGAUGUAACGGGGCUAAACCAUGCACCGAAGCUGCGGCAGCGACGCUUAUGCGUUGUUGGGUAGGGGAGCGUUCUGUAAGCCUGUGAAGGUGUGCUGUGAGGCAUGCUGGAGGUAUCAGAAGUGCGAAUGCUGACAUAAGUAACGAUAAAGCGGGUGAAAAGCCCGCUCGCCGGAAGACCAAGGGUUCCUGUCCAACGUUAAUCGGGGCAGGGUGAGUCGACCCCUAAGGCGAGGCCGAAAGGCGUAGUCGAUGGGAAACAGGUUAAUAUUCCUGUACUUGGUGUUACUGCGAAGGGGGGACGGAGAAGGCUAUGUUGGCCGGGCGACGGUUGUCCCGGUUUAAGCGUGUAGGCUGGUUUUCCAGGCAAAUCCGGAAAAUCAAGGCUGAGGCGUGAUGACGAGGCACUACGGUGCUGAAGCAACAAAUGCCCUGCUUCCAGGAAAAGCCUCUAAGCAUCAGGUAACAUCAAAUCGUACCCCAAACCGACACAGGUGGUCAGGUAGAGAAUACCAAGGCGCUUGAGAGAACUCGGGUGAAGGAACUAGGCAAAAUGGUGCCGUAACUUCGGGAGAAGGCACGCUGAUAUGUAGGUGAGGUCCCUUGCGGAUGGAGCUGAAAUCAGUCGAAGAUACCAGCUGGCUGCAACUGUUUAUUAAAAACACAGCACUGUGCAAACACGAAAGUGGACGUAUACGGUGUGACGCCUGCCCGGUGCCGGAAGGUUAAUUGAUGGGGUCAGCGCAAGCGAAGCUCUUGAUCGAAGCCCCGGUAAACGGCGGCCGUAACUAUAACGGUCCUAAGGUAGCGAAAUUCCUUGUCGGGUAAGUUCCGACCUGCACGAAUGGCGUAAUGAUGGCCAGGCUGUCUCCACCCGAGACUCAGUGAAAUUGAACUCGCUGUGAAGAUGCAGUGUACCCGCGGCAAGACGGAAAGACCCCGUGAACCUUUACUAUAGCUUGACACUGAACAUUGAGCCUUGAUGUGUAGGAUAGGUGGGAGGCUUAGAAGUGUGGACGCCAGUCUGCAUGGAGCCGACCUUGAAAUACCACCCUUUAAUGUUUGAUGUUCUAACGUUGACCCGUAAUCCGGGUUGCGGACAGUGUCUGGUGGGUAGUUUGACUGGGGCGGUCUCCUCCUAAAGAGUAACGGAGGAGCACGAAGGUUGGCUAAUCCUGGUCGGACAUCAGGAGGUUAGUGCAAUGGCAUAAGCCAGCUUGACUGCGAGCGUGACGGCGCGAGCAGGUGCGAAAGCAGGUCAUAGUGAUCCGGUGGUUCUGAAUGGAAGGGCCAUCGCUCAACGGAUAAAAGGUACUCCGGGGAUAACAGGCUGAUACCGCCCAAGAGUUCAUAUCGACGGCGGUGUUUGGCACCUCGAUGUCGGCUCAUCACAUCCUGGGGCUGAAGUAGGUCCCAAGGGUAUGGCUGUUCGCCAUUUAAAGUGGUACGCGAGCUGGGUUUAGAACGUCGUGAGACAGUUCGGUCCCUAUCUGCCGUGGGCGCUGGAGAACUGAGGGGGGCUGCUCCUAGUACGAGAGGACCGGAGUGGACGCAUCACUGGUGUUCGGGUUGUCAUGCCAAUGGCACUGCCCGGUAGCUAAAUGCGGAAGAGAUAAGUGCUGAAAGCAUCUAAGCACGAAACUUGCCCCGAGAUGAGUUCUCCCUGACUCCUUGAGAGUCCUGAAGGAACGUUGAAGACGACGACGUUGAUAGGCCGGGUGUGUAAGCGCAGCGAUGCGUUGAGCUAACCGGUACUAAUGAACCGUGAGGCUUAACCUU
rnacentral:rRNA from 1 species